UCCCUGGUGGUCCAGGGGUUAGGACUCUGCACUUUCACUGCAGGGGUGCAGGUUCGAUCCCUGAUCGGGGAA
rfam:Ovis aries breed Texel chromosome 3, whole genome shotgun sequence.